rnacentral:rRNA from 1 species
CGCAUGAAGAAGUAAUUAAAGGAGCAAUCCGCUACAAGAUGGGCCCGCGGCGCAUUAGCUAGUUGGUGAGGUAACGGCUCACCAAGGCGACGAUGCGUAGCCGACCUGAGAGGGUGAUCGGCCACAUUGGGACUGAGACACGGCCCAGACUCCUACGGGAGGCAGCAGUGGGGAAUAUUGCACAAUGGGGGAAACCCUGAUGCAGCAACGCCGCGUGAGUGAUGAAGGUUUUCGGAUCGUAAAGCUCUGUCUUCAGGGACGAUAAUGACGGUACCUGAGGAGGAAGCCACGGCUAACUACGUGCCAGCAGCCGCGGUAAUACGUAGGUGGCGAGCGUUGUCCGGAUUUACUGGGCGUAAAGGGAGCGUAGGCGGAUUUUUAAGUGAGAUGUGAAAUACCCGGGCUCAACUUGGGUGCUGCAUUUCAAACUGGAAGUCUAGAGUGCAGGAGAGGAGAGUGGAAUUCCUAGUGUAGCGGUGAAAUGCGUAGAGAUUAGGAAGAACACCAGUGGCGAAGGCGACUCUCUGGACUGUAACUGACGCUGAGGCUCGAAAG